rnacentral:rRNA from 1 species
AUUGAACGCUGGCGGCAGGCCUAACACAUGCAAGUCGAGCGGGGUUUUCGGACCUAGCGGCGGACGGGUGAGUAAUGCGUAGGAAGCUGCCCGAUAGAGGGGGAUACCAGUUGGAGACGACUGUUAAUACCGCAUAAUGUCUACGGACCAAAGUGUGGGACCUUCGGGCCACAUGCUAUCGGAUGCGCCUACGUGGGAUUAGCUAGUUGGUGAGGUAAUGGCUCACCAAGGCGACGAUCCCUAGCUGGUUUGAGAGGAUGAUCAGCCACACUGGAACUGGGACACGGUCCAGACGCCUACGGGAGGCAGCAGUGGGGAAUAUUGGACAAGGGGCGCAAGCCUGAUCCAGCCAUGCCGGGUGUGUGAAGAAGGCCUUCGGGUUGUAAAGCACUUUCAGUAGGGAGGAAGCGUUGAGUGUUAAUAGUACUCAGCAUUGACGUUACCUACAGAAGAAGCACCGGCUAACUCUGUGCCAGCAGCCGCCGUAACAC